CAUUUAUUUUCAAAGAUGUAAUAGGAAACACACACAGUAUUUUAUUUGGCCUUAGCCCUUAUAUAUACAAUGUACAUGUACUCUUAAUAAACCUUUUAUUCCUGCAAUAAAAAACACUUUUGACUAUAAUUCUAAGACGCCAGUAAUCAAUUCUAAUGUUUUUAUUUUUAUCUUACAGAUGGUGACAAAAAAAGAUAACAGCACAGUGUUAAGAUUGAAUCAGAAUGAAUAAAACAAAAAGAUUAUAAUAGGUAUUGGUUUUUUUUUAAAUAUUUUUAUUUGCAUGGAUUAAUUACUUUAUCAAUUUAUAAAAAAAAUACUAUUUAAUUAUCCUGCCUUGCAUGGAAUAAAAUGACAACUUACAUUGUUCUAAAAAAAAAUGUUUGUAAAUAAUGAGUAAAAUUAAUGCUCAAUAAACAAUGUUUAAAAUGUUAACAUGAAAACUGAUUUUGAUUUGAAGCCAUAUUUUAUGAAAUUGAUUAAUGUAGACAAAUCUUUUUUAUAGUUACAAAUGUAGGUGACACUUAAACACUCAAUAUCUUUCUUUAAUUAGUAUAGUAGGAUGAUACAGAUUGAUGCCUGUGAAAGAAUUAUAAAAAAGGUUGCAUUCAGUUUUUUAUUGUCAAUAAUACUUCCCUCCCCCUAUUUUUCAAACUUUUUAUAUGUUAAAUAAUGCAGGUCCUUGCAUUUCAACAAUUUAUUUUUAGUUAUACUCAUUUUAUUAUUUCAUUAUUACUUUCAGCUCCCUCAACCAGAAGAACUAUGAACACAGUUAUUGAUUUCUAUGUUUCCUUGGAGAUUUUAACAGUUAUUGUUAAAACUUGAAAUCUAACAGAAUGAAAAUUUGAGAAAAUUUACAUAUACAGUGUACAUGUACAUGUAGCUUCAAUAUAAAUCAACUGAUACACCGUAAGUAUGUCUUCUAUAUAUGAAAGUUAUAAAUUGGUUUGUUUACAAAAUUUAUUUUUUACUAGAUAUAUUUGAGUAAAUACCGGACCAAAUUAUAUAUUAAAGCAAAUACUCACAAACGUUUUUUUUUUUUAAAUUACUAAUAUUUCCUAUAUGGUGAUAUAAAUUAUAUGAUCAAAUUGUGGAUACAACUACAUGGUUUAUGCUAUAAACUGUGAAUAUAAAAAAAGAGUAUGUUGUAUGAUUGCCAAUGAGAAAACUCUUCCAACAAGAGACCAAAUGACAGAAGUUAACAACUGUAGCCUAUAGUAGGUCAUAGUACAGUCUUAAACAAUGAGUAAAGCCCAUACCACUCAGAGAGCUAUAAAAUACACUGAAAUGACAAAUGUGAAACAAUUAAAACUAGAAAUUUGGCCUAAUUUAUCAUACAUGUAUGUACAAAAUAAUGAACGAAAAACAAAUAUGUGACACAUCAAACAACAACCACUGAAUUAAAGGCUCCUGAUUUGGGACAGACACAGACAUACAUAAUGUAUCGGGUUAAACAUGUUCGCUGGGACCCAACCCUCCCCUUACCUGGGACAGUGGUGUAAGAGUACAAAAUAAAAACAAACUAUAAAAUUCAGUUGAAAAAGACUUAAAUCUUAACUCAUCAUGAGAUGGAUACAAGUAGAAAUAAAUAAAACCAAGAAAAAGGGGGCAUGGUCAGGUACUAUUACAUACAAACAACUGAAAGACACUUAGUAUAGAUCUAGAUUAUUUACUCUAAGCACACUCAAGCUUAAUAGAUGUGAAAAAUACCCUAAAUCUGAUAGGUCCUGCAACUUUUGAAAGAGACUCCAAAAAAUUACUUAUAAAGGGAACUCAAUCUAAAUUUUGUGUUAAAAUUUCAUGAGAAAUUGUUCAAAGCAAAGGAGAAGGGCAUUAAAGGACUAUUUUUUGUCCAAGAAUAUAAACUAUUCCAAAAAGCCCCAUUAUGUUUGGAAUUGCAUAAAUUUAAGAAACAUGAAUUAAAAACAUAAUAUUUUUUAUACGACCGCAAAAAUUAAAAAAUUUUUGGUCGUAUAUUGGUAUCACGUUGGCGUCGUCGUCGUCGUCGUCGUCCGAAUACUUUUAGUUUUCGCACUCUAACUUUAGUAAAAGUGAAUAGAAAUCUAUGAAAUUUUAACACAAGGUUUAUGAUCACAAAAGGAAGGUUGGGAUUGAUUUUGGGAGUUUUGGUCCCAACAUUUUAGGAAUUAGGGGCCAAAAAGGGCCCAAAUAAGCAUUUUCUUGGUUUUCGCACUAUAACUUUAGUUUAAGUAAAUAGAAAUCUAUGAAAUUUUGACACAAGGUUUAUGACCACAAAAGGAAGGUUGGGAUUGAUUUUGGGAGUUUUGGUUCCAACAGUUUAGGAAUUAGGGGCCAAAAAAGAGCCCAAAUAAGCAUUAUUCUUGGUUUUCGCACAAUAACUUUAGUAUAAGUAAAUAGAAAUCUAUGAAAUUUAAACACAAGGUUUAUGACCAUAAAAGGAAGGUUGGGUUUGAUUUUGGGAGUUUUGGUCCCAACAGUUUAGGAAUAAGGGGCCCAAAGGGUUCAAAAUUAAACUUUGUUUGAUUUCAUCAAAAAUUGAAUAAUUGGGGUUCUUUGAUAUGCCGAAUCUAACUGUGUAUGUAGAUUCUUAAUUUUUGGUCCCGUUUUCAAAUUGGUCUACAUUAAGGUCCAAAGGGUCCAAAAUUAAACUUAGUUUGAUUUAACAAAAAUUGAAUCCUUGGGGUUUCUUUGAUAUGCUGAAUCUAAAAAAUGUACAGUAUUCAGCAAUAGCAAGAAAUCUUCAAUUGCACAGUAUUGUGCAAUAGCAAGAAAUUUUCAAUUGCACAGUAUUGCGCAAUAGCAAGAAAUCUUCAAUUGCACAGUAUUGUGCAAUAGCAAAUAUUUUCAAUUGCACAGUAUUGCGCAAUAGCAAGAAAUAUCUAAUUGCAAUUUCAAUUGGAGUUAUCUUUCUUUGUCCAGAAUAGUAGUUGAAUCAACUUAAAUCAUUGUUUUAUACAAUAUAUAUAAUUGAUAUUUCAAUUGGAGUUAUCUUUCUUUGUCCAGAAUAGUAGUUGAAUCAACUUAAAUCAUUGUUUUAUACAAUAUACAAUGUAUAUUCACUUUUACUACCAACUGAUAAAUUAAAACAAUCUUUACCAUUCAGUGAUAACAAGCACUUUAUUUUACAUUUUAAAUAUUUUAUGAUGUAUUUAAAUGAGUAGUUAUUGUUGCAAACUCCAUUAUUAGAAAUUUGAAUUGAGAUCAGUUUUGGAAAAAGGGAAAGGGGGAUGUGAAAAAAAAAAUGGGGGGGGGUUAAAUUUUUCUCAUUUCAGAUUUCAUAAAUAAAAAGAAAAUUUCUUCAAACAUUUUUUUGAGAGGAUUAAUAUUCAACAGCAUAGUGAAUUGCUCAAAGGCAAAAAAAAUAUUUUAAGUUCAUUAGACCACAUUCAUUCUGUGUCAGAAACCUAUGCUGUGUCAACUAUCUAAUCACAAUCCAAAUUUAGAGCUGAAUCCAGCUUGAAUGUUGUGUCCAUACUUGCCCCAACCGUUCAGGGUUCAACCUCUGCGGUUAAAUUAGCAGUAAUAUCUGGGCCAAAUAAAAACCUUUUUUAGUUAGCCCCUACUUACUUUGAAUUUAUUGAACAAAGUGUUGCCAUAAUAUUGAUUUUAAAGAUGGAUGGACAAACAAUGGCAUACCAUAUACAUCCCUUACCUACCAGAAGUUACAAAGUUAUAAAAAAAUGUUUAUAUAUUUUCAGAUCACAAUUAUGUCAACCUAAUCAUUGGAAGUUUAUCAAGUUACAUGAGAAGCAUUGAAAGCCUGCAGAGAUUCUACAUGUAUAAAUAAAUGGAAUAGACUCACACUUAAAAAUAACUUUUACACAAGACUAAUGCACUCUCAAACAAGGAUUAUUCAUGUUUCAAUG
rnacentral:lncRNA from 1 species